AGCAAAUCAAUCCAAUUUCUAGGCCAGGGCGCAUAUAUGGCAGGAAUACCCAAGUAGUGAGUGGUUAGCAAAGCUAGCCAUCGGAUUUCUCUUUUGGUAUUUCUACUCAUGUAAAUUGUGACAGACCCCUUCUACUAACCCCUUUCCUUCCACAUCUCAUUAGUAGGUACUGCCAUGACGGGAGGGCCUGGUGCUUCAAUAGAGAGUUCUGGGAAGAUUCAGCUGCAUAGACAUGGCUCGGGAGAGUUGGAAGAGAAGAAAGGAGAGAAGGAUGGAAGUGGUCUAGUUGCAGAAAUGUUUGGUUGACCUCACAUCAUCCAUCUUCAGUGAGGAUUCCUUGUAUCACAAUUUGUCCGAGGAGGAACUGAUGCGAGUUCAUGAAUAUAAUUUUGACCAUCCUGGUAAUGUCUACCUUUUCCUAAAGUUGGAGAAACAAAAAUUCAUGUAGAAUAUCUAAAAUGUGCAUGUCAUGUUGUAGUGGUAUUUUGAGUCAAAAUUCUGGCACCUGUUUGCUAAUUAUGUUGUGUAUGAAUCAGUGGAAGGAUCCUUACAAAUUG